rnacentral:misc_RNA from 1 species
CAUGUAAUCUGAAAAUGGGAAAUACAUAAUUGCAUAGAGUGUACAUAUAUGUACUUUAAAGGAAAUAAAAAAAUCUAGAUCUAGUCACUUACUUGUUGGUAUUGUGAAACAUACUGUCAAAGUGUAAGAAACAAAUCAAAUAUCUUUGCGACAAAGGAAAGAACUUGAAGAAAGCGAAUUUGAUUAUGACUAAUUCAGUACAUUCCUUUGAAAAUAUAUUAAAAAAACGGAAAACCAUACACAAAACUGGACAAGGAACAACACCGGAAUAAAUUAACUUUUUUUUUCAAUUGAAUUGACUAGUUAUAUAGUCAUUAUUAAAGUUAACUUCAUCAGGAUAAAUAGAAAAGAUUUCAAAAAUAUUGCUGAUUGGAUUUUAAUAACAAAGAUCACGCUGCUUUAAAUUGAAUAUUUCUGUGAAGUGAUGGAUUAUUUACUGAUUUUCACUCGAGAGCUGGAUGUGUAAUAUUUGAAUAAAUAAAAGGUCAGGAAAAACUUCACACUGGACCCGUAGAGGACGAUAAGGUAGAAGUAACUGAAGAAAUGGAUGCUGAUGGUGAAAUCAGUGUCAACAACACUGCUGAGGACACUAUUCAAGAAACAGAACAAAGCAAACAAAGCAUAAUUUCACAGAUAAUUAAUCUGAAGGAAAAUGAAUUAGAUACAUUAGCGGGCUUUCUCGGACAUAACAUCAAAGUUCAUAGAGAGUUUGACAGACUACCAGAAGAUACUCUUCGGGUUGCUAAAAUCAACAAGAUCCUUCUGGAGAUGGAGCGGGGUAACAUACACCUGUGUAAAGGGAAAAGUCUUGAUGACAUACAGUUAGAUCAGGAAGAACCUCUAGAGGAGGAUAAAGAAACAGAGGCAGCAACAAAAGAUUCUGAAACGGAUGUUGGUGGUGAAAGCCAUGCAGUUGCCACAGCUGAGAACAUUCUAGAAACAGAACAAAGUAAAAAAGGAGGUAUGGAGGGUCAAGCAUCAACCAGCAACACAAGUCAGAAUAUGAGAAGAGAAAGAAGUAAACAAGGAAGUAAAUCACACAUGACUGUCAUUUAUCAACUAGAAUGACCUGUCAUCCUUGUGUGGGAUGGUUAUCAAAACACUGUUUAACAAUGGACCAGAACCAACUGGAACCAGUCAGACCUCUUACUAGAUUUCAACAAAACUUCACAGGAAUGCAGCCCACGACAGUAGGCUUCUAUGCUAACCAAAUGUGACAGGAAACAAAUGUUUGUCCGUGUGCAUGUAGACACAAUAAUGCACAUGCUGGAGCUUUACAGUAGUGAUUAAGUGAUUGAUGAGAAAAAUUGGGUGACGGCUUGUUUAGAACAUCAAGGGCAUUUGGAAAUUCAGGACAAGACCCCUUACACAGAAUUUUCUGCUAAGCAUGACUACAGAAUUUUCUGCAAAGCAUGACUGUUCCUGAAAUCCUGCAUGCACUUAGUAUUCACAAAUCAUGGUCACACUAUGGCCUUUUCAUUUUCAGGUGAGCUAUUGUGAUCGGUCAAUGUCCGUCGUCCGUCCGUGCGUCCGUCACUCAACAAUUUAUUCAAACGAUAUCUCCUCCUAAACCACUGAUUGGAUUUUGACCAAACGUCACAGGAAUGAUCCUUGGGUGGUUCUCUUUCAAGGUUGUUCAAAUGGUUCCGGUCCAUUGCACAACUAGGUCACAGGAGCUGAAAAUAGAUUUUUUAACUGAGAAAUUUAAAAAUCUUCUUGUCUGAAACCACAAGGCCUAGGCAAUUGAUAUUUGGUAUGUAGCAUUGCCUAGUGGUCCUCUAUCAAGAUUGUUCAAAUUAUGCCCCUGUGGUGAAAAGUUCCUCCGCCCGGGGGGUCAAAAGUUUUAUAUAGACUUAUAUAGGAAAAAACUUAAAAAAUGUUCUUGUCUGAAACCACAAGGCCUAGGCCAUUGAUAUUUGGUAUGUAGCAUUGCCAAGUGGUCCUCUACCAAGAUUGUUAAAAUUAUGUCAAAGAUCAAGGUCACCAUGACCUUUAGUACUAAAAAGCUUAUAACUCCACAAUGCUUAGGACUAGGACCCUCAAACUUUGCAGGGAUGUUGGUCCUGACCAGUAGAUGAUCCUGAGGGCAAAGGUCACGGUCAAGGGCACCGUGACCUUUAGUACCAAAAAUCCUUAUCACAUGGCAAUUCUUGGGGAUAGGACACUCAAACGUAAUAGGGAUGUUGGUCCUGACCAGUAGAUGACCCUGGGGGCAAAGGUCAUGGUCAAGUUCACAAUAACCGUUAGUACCAAAAAGCUUGAUACAAACUUGGCAAUGCUUGGGGCUAGGACCUUUAAACGUAGAAGGGAUGUUGGUCCUGACCAGUAGAUGACCAUGAGGGCAAAGGUCAAGGUAACGGUGACCUGUAGUACAAAAAAGUUUAUAACUCGGUGAUGCUUUGGGAUAUGACCCUCAAACUUAGCAGGGAUGUUUGUCCAAACCAGUAGAUGACCCUGAGGGCAAAGGUCACCAUGACCUUUAGUACCAAAAAGCUUGAUAACUCUGCAAUGCUAUGAAUAACAUGAUUUAGGUGAGCGAUAUAGGGCCAUCAUGGCCCUCUUGUUUUCAGUUAUUGUACAGAGGUACUGACAAAAGUUGUGACUUUUAUAUAUUCAUGGAUUUAUCUUCCAUUUAUUGCCCAAUUCUUUAACUUUCAUCAUGCUUAGGACAAUUGUAUUAUGUAUUGCAAACAGAUCUGAACCAGAUUAGAUGCUGAGUAGUUUGCCCAUCUUCUGUCCUUGUUCCAAAGUGGUUGGUAGUCAAUAGUUCUUCCACAAUUAUGACAAAAUUGGAUGAAAUAUAAAAACUAGACAGAUGACAAUUUCCACAGCAUGAUAAUGGUUAAAGAUACUCUAAUGACAGCUUGUUGAAUGUUUCUGUGUACAUUUUUAUUGCUGGCUUUUUUUUCAUCUGACACCUAUUUCUGUGUCCUAUCCUAGGCAGGAGCUUUAAUUACCCUCAGUGAUUGUUUUAGUUUUACAUUUUAUGCUGCCAUUAUUUGUUUAGAUCUUUUAGUACUAAACAGUAGAACCCCUCUAAACCGGACGGCCUCUGGAUAAGUAUUUAGUCCGGUUUAGAGGGUAAUUAGUAAUGCGGACAAUUGUAAGGUCUUAUGGGAUGUUAUAAUGUACAGUUUUAUAUUUCAUAUAUUAUAUUAAAUAUCCUGUCUUUUUGUGUAGAACGCUAUUGCUUUGUCGUUUUCAAUAUACAUGUAAUUACGAAAAUCAGAUUUAAAGAAUUUUGUAGGACAGUUUGUGUAGUAUAAAUUUCGAAAAACUGACCAUUUCCAUUCAUGAUUGGUUAUUCCCAACUUUACUACAAUUUUACAUAAUACAGUGAAAAAAUAUAGAUUUAUUUUCAGUUAUCAAAACGUACAAGAAAUUAACAGUUUACAACAAAAUAAAUUCUUUUUAUGUCAUUUCAGUUCUAUGGUAAUGUAUUAGAAUUUUGAAGUUCAUUUAUGGGGUAAAUUUAUAUGGUAUGCAAACAUUUUUCACCAGAAAGUCUUCCGGUAACCAGAAUGAAGUGGUUUCCGGAUUACAGGGAUAAAACAUAGACAAAGACGUGGGACCGGACAAUUUGUCCGUUUUAGAGGGGUUUCUAGUUUACAGGGAUUCUGGUGUAGAGGGGUUCUACUGUACAAGAAUUUUGAUGAUAACAAAUACUUCCUGCAGCAUUUUGUCCAUGUCAGACUGAUGUCAACUUUUAACAUCAGCUUUUGUGACUAAAGCGUUUUAGGUCCUCCAAGCUGUAUAUUUCCAUUAGGUAUUAGUGCAAGUGGAGUCUGGAGUGACGGGAAUCAUCAUUUGAGCCGCCCCACGAGAAAACGUACAUAGUGCGUUUUUGCGACCAGCACGGAUCCAGAUGAACCUGCGCAACUGCGCAGUCACAUCAUGAUCCAUGCUGUUUGCUUAAAGUCUCUGCAAUAUUCAUAGUGUCUGAUAGCGAACAGUACUGAUCCUAAUGAGACUGUCUGGAUCCAUGCUGGUUGCAAAUGCACUUUGUACGUUUUCUCGUGGCACGGCUCAUUUCUUUUUAAGUAUUUUCUUCUUCAAAACUAUAAUGGCAGAUUUAUACCAAACUUGCUCUGAUGCAACCUUGCAAUGACUGUCAAUCAAGUAGAAAUGUAGUCAUGGACAAUGAUAUUAAACUAAAAAGUCUUAAAACAACUUGUUUUUUAUGCUUGUCAAAGACAGGGCAGGGCGUAUUCUGUGAACAACUGUGGGCGGCGUCCGGUUAUGUUUUUUGUACUACCCUACAUAUUUUGACCAUAAAUAUCGACCUGAAACUUAAAAUAGGUACUUAGUAUCAACAUCUGCAUCGGAUGACACAAUCCCCAUAACUUUGUUUGAAUUUUUAGCUCACCUGGGCAUGAAGAGCUCAAGGUGAGCUAUUGCGAUCGUCCUUUGGCUGUGGUCUGUCGUUUGUUCACACUUAGCUUGUUAACAGUCAAGAGGUCGCAUUUUUGAUUCAGUCUUUAUGAAACUUGGUCAGAAUGUUUGCCUUUGAUAAAAUGUAGGUCAAGUUCGAUAAUGGGUCAUGUGGGGUCAAAAACUAAUUCACCAGGGCAAAUCAUAGAGAAACCUUGUUAACCGACUAGAGGACACAUUUUGUACUUAAUCUUUAUAAAACUUAUACUUGCAUUGAUAAAAUCUCAGUCAAGUUUGAAAAAAGGUCACCAGGGCAAAUCAUAGAAAAACCUUGUUCACACUCUAGAGGUCCCAUUUUUGAAUCAAUCUUUUAUGAAACUUAGAAAGUUUUUCUUUAUGAAAUCUCGGUCAAGUUUGAAACUGGGUCACUUUGGGUCAAAAACUAGGGUAUAUCAUAGGAAAACCAUGUUUACACUCUAGUGGUCAAACUUUCGACUUGAUCUUAAUGAACAUGUUUGUCAUGAUUAAAUCUAGGUCAUGCUCAAAACUGGGUAUGUGCAUUUGUGGCGAUGUGGUCUGAGAUGAGAGAUAAAGGGCUAUCCUGGCCCUUUUGUUAAUAGAAAUGCAGAGAAUAUCUUGUAUCAUGAAUUUAUUUGAGCGACAGGAAAGUAGGGAGCUAGUUCUUAUGUACGAUUUAUUUCUGUAAAUUGUGCAAAGUUUGAGUGAUACUCAGGUGAGCGAUAUAGGGCCAUCGUGGCCCUUGGUAACAGAAUUAUGCUCAAUUAGCUCCUUUUUAACUUUGAAAUUUUGGUUAACCCAUAUAUUUUGAAAACUAUCAAAGAUAUAAACUUAAAACAGUUACAAUUGUACUUAUUAUCAACAUCUGUGUCGGAUGAAACAAUUCCCAUAACUCUGAUUUGAAAUUUGACAGAAUUUUGCCAUUUUUUAACUUAGAAAAUUUGAUUAAGGUUUUCAUAUUAGUCCUCAUUUUGUCUAAAUUAUUUUAGAUAUUCACUUUGAACUUUAAAUAUUAUCUUACCAUCAAUGUCUACAUUUCUUUGAUUGGCACUCUGAUGGGCGUAUUUUGUGACAUUCUUGUUUCUCAGUGGUUAAUACAGUACUUCACUAUUUUAGUACUAGGGUAGAGGACAAUUCUGUACAAAGCAAUACAUUACAGUACAGUACCACUGCUGCACUAUCCAAUGGUACAAAUGGUGGCCAGAAGAAAAACAUGAGCUGCGCCACGAGAAAAUGUACAUUGUGCGUUUGCGACCAGCAUGAAUCCAGAUUAGCAUGCGCUUACACGCGGUCACAUCAGGAUCCAUACUGUUCGCAUCAAGCUUCUGGUUUUACAGCGAACAGUAUGGAUCCUGAUGAGACUGCGCGGAUGCGCAGGCUCAUCUGAAUCCAUGCUGGUCGCAAAUGCACAUUGAACGUUUUCUAGUGGCAUGGCUCACAUCUUGUACAGAUGAGCGACUUAGCCAACUUGAACGUCUUUUAAUUAAAAGUUGUAGCUAAGAAGAUUCACUAAAAUGAUUUAAAUUUUGAUGUAAAUCUUGCUGUAAUUAAAACUUGAAACACUGAAAAUAUAGUUGUUUGUAAUUAUACCCACACCAGAUGAGUUUGGGGGAGUUUAUACACAUAAUAUGAAACACUUUUUCCUGUUAUGGCCUUGAUCUUUACUCGAGACAUUUAAAUUACUUACCAGAUCGAUGUAGUUGAUUGUUAGGAAAAACAUGAUGUUGAAAUCACUUUAAUUUAAAUCUGACUUUAUUCAUUGAGUGACAGGCAUAACUCUUCUGACAAUGUUCUUUUUCAUAUUUUUAUUUCAUUCAUUGAGUCAAGGUAUAUUUGCAGGGUAUGAAUUACUUGCAGUGAUUGUGCAAAAUAAAAUCAACAUUUUUUAAACAGCAUCUCGAAACCACCUUAGCCAGUUGUUAUGGAACUUGGCAGGGAUGUUUCUUGCAUGGUACUCUACCAAGUUUGUUCAAAGAAUUCCAUUCCAUAUUAUGGCAACAAAGAAAUAUCUUUAAAAGUCACAAGACCCAGAGCUUAUAUAUUUGACAAGUGUACCAAGGUUGUUCAAAAAAUGACCCCUUGCCCAAAAUUGGCCCCGCCACGGGGUCCCUUUAUUUCACAUAGGUUUCAAUGGGGGGUCCCUUUAUUUCACAUAGGUUUCUAUAGGGUAAAGUUAAAAUCUUCUCAGAAGCCACAAGGCCUAGAAUUUAAAUACUUGGCAUGUAGUGUUGCUUAGUGAACCUCUACCAAAAUUGUCCCAAGUCAUGCCACCUGGGCCAACAGACAAUGCCGCAGGAGUUACUUGAAUUUACAUAGGUUCCAAUAGGAAAAGCUUUAAAAAAUCUUAGAAACCAUUAGGCCUAGUAUUAGAUGUUUGGCAUUUAACAUUAUCUAAUAGAGCAGUUCAAAGAUUAUUGAAAUUAAUGCUCCUUGGUGAAAAUUGACCCAGCCCCAGGUUUUACUUGAAUAUACAUAGGCAUAUAUAGGGAAAACAGAAACUGUGCAGUUUUUAGUUCACCUGAGCCGAAGGCUCAAGGUUGUGAUUGGUCAAUGUCUGUCGUUCUUUAAACGACAUCUCCUCCUAAACCACUGGGCCAAAUUUAGAGAAACUUCACAGAAAAGAUCCUUGGGUGAACCCCUACCAAAGUUGUUCAAAUAAUGGAAUUCCAUA